rnacentral:rRNA from 1 species
CUGCAAACACGAAAGUGGACGUAUAGGGUGUGACGCCUGCCCGGUGCCGGAAGGUUAAUUGAUGGGGUCAGCGAAAGCGAAGCUCUUGAUCGAAGCCCCGGUAAACGGCGGCCGUAACAAUAACGGUCCUAAGGUAGCGAAAUUCCUUGUCGGGUAAGUUCCGACCUGCACGAAUGGCGUAACGAUGGCCACACUGUCUCCACCCGAGACUCAGUGAAAUUGAAAUCGCUGUGAAGAUGCAGUGUACCCGCGGCUAGACGGAAAGACCCCGUGAACCUUUACUACAGCUUUGCACUGAACUUUGAACCUGUUUGUGUAGGAUAGGUGGGAGGCUUUGAAGCGUGGACGCCAGUCUGCGUGGAGCCAACCUUGAAAUACCACCCUGACAGUUUUGGGGUUCUAACCCAGGUCCGUCAUCCGGAUCGGGGACAGUGUAUGGUGGGUAGUUUGACUGGGGCGGUCUCCUCCCAAAGAGUAACGGAGGAGCACGAAGGUACCCUCAGCGUGGUCGGAAAUCACGCUUUUGAGUGCAAAGGCA